rnacentral:misc_RNA from 1 species
UAGAGGAUUGAGUAUCAUAAGCGAGCCAAACUGUGGAGAACUGGCCCCAGCCAAGCUUCCCCUGGGCGAUAUAACGGCCACCAGCGAACUGAUCGCCAACUCUAACGGCAUGAUAACCACCUUUCCUGUAAGAAUCGAUUCCCUCAUCGUCCUCGGACUCAGAACCCGACGAAGACGAACACGACAUCGUUGUAUAUUUUCUCUCUGCGUGUAUGAACGAAUCAAAGCACGGUGCGAUCGGAUGAUAAUAUGGUGUCCGAUUGAAUUGAUUUGAUCUGAAUAUUGUAUCAACCGUUCUCUGUCAGAAAUUAGAAGGAAAGAAAGAGGAAAUUGUAUUGGAUUAAAAUGGAAUUAGGGUACGUUAGUUUAGGGAAAUGAAGCUGGAAAAAAGGAGAAAGAGAAGGAGAAGACUGUGAAA